CGCACGGGUGCGUAACGCGUAUGCAACCUACCUUAUACAGGGGGAUAGCUCCCGGAAACGGGAAUUAAUACCCCAUGGCAUUAAUGUACCGCAUGGUAUUAUUAAUUAAAGAGAGAUCGGUAUAAGACGGGCAUGCGUAGGAUUAGCUAGUUGGCGGGGUAACGGCCCACCAAGGCGAUGAUCCUUAGGGGUUCUGAGAGGAAGGUCCCCCACACUGGCACUGAGAUACGGGCCAGACUCCUACGGGAGGCAGCAGUAGGGAAUAUUGGGCAAUGGUCGGAAGACUGACCCAGCCAUGCCGCGUGCAGGAAGACGGCCUAUUGGGUUGUAAACUGCUUUUGUACGGGAAGAAAAAGCCACUGCGGUGGAAAUUGCCGGUACCGUACGAAUAAGCACCGGCUAACUCCGUGCCAGCAGCCGCGGUAAUACGGAGGGUGCAAGCGUUGUCCGGAUUUAUUGGGUUUAAAGGGUGCGUAGGCGGCUUAUUAAGUCAGCGGUGAAAGUUUCAGGCUCAACCUGGAGACUGCCGUUGAUACUGAUGAGCUUGAGUUACGGAGGGGUACAUGGAAUUUAUGGUGUAGCGGUGAAAUGCAUAGAUACCAUAAGGAACACCGAUAGCGAAGGCAUUGUACCGGCCGUCGACUGACGCUGANGCACGAAAGCGU
rnacentral:rRNA from 1 species